UUGAGCUCUCGGGUUUCCUUUGUUUGUGGACUAUUUUUGGCUUGUUUUUGAUACGUACCAAAUUUGUAUCGUAUCAGUUAUAGAUGAACAAUUUGCAUUUUACCAGACUGACGGAUUGCAAAGAUUUAAUGCAUCUGAUCCAAACAAGCUUCUUCACAGCAAUGUACCAGAAGGAUCUUUUAUUGUGAGGGCUCACACGCCAAGGUCAAACUUGUUUUCAUGUUUAUGGUACAAUGAGGUUGACCGGUUUACUUCCCGUGAUCAGCUGAGUUUUGCAUAUACAUAUUAUAAGUUGAGAAAGAUGAAUCCGGACAAACCUUUUUAUCUCAACAUGUUCAAGGAUUGUGAAAGGCGAAAGAUUGCUAAGUUGUUCCGUCACAGAUCAGAUGAGCAGAGGAAUAUUAUAUUAUCAUAAAUUGGAGUUCAAGUUAGUUGAAGUUAGUGGAAGUCCAAAUCAGUUGAUUUUAAAAGUUAGUUAGAAACAAUGCAGCUACAGUAGUCUG